rnacentral:rRNA from 1 species
GACGAACGCUGGCGGCGUGCUUAACACAUGCAAGUCGAGCGGUGAACCACUUCGGUGGGGAUCAGCGGCGAACGGGUGAGUAACACGUGGGCAACCUGCCCCUAGCACUGGGAUAACCCCGGGAAACCGGGGCUAAUACCGGAUACGACCUUGAGUGGCAUCACUCUGGGUGGAAAGAUUUAUCAGCUAGGGAUGGGCCCGCGGCCUAUCAGCUUGUUGGUGGGGUAAUGGCCUACCAAGGCGACGACGGGUAGCCGGCCUGAGAGGGCGACCGGCC